rnacentral:rRNA from 1 species
GACGAACGCUGGCGGCGUGCUUAACACAUGCAAGUCGAACGAAGUGGCGAACGGGUGAGUAAUACGUGAGUAACCUGCCCUCCUUUUUGGGAUAAGCCUUGGAAACGGGGUCUAAUACCGAAUAAAGGGGGAUGGGCUCGCGGUCUAUCAGCUUGUUGGAGGGGUUAUGGCCUACCAGGGCGGUGACGGGUAGCCGGCCUUAGAGGGUGACACGGGAACUUGGGACCGGGCUACGCCCCAGAGGGAUGCAGGAGGGAGGAGUAGUGGAUAUUGGACAAUGGGCGAAAGCCGCCUGCAGGCGUGGUGGGAGGGGGAUGAAGGAUUUCGGGUUGCUAACAUCUUUCGCUAUGGAAAGGGUAGGUGGAGAAGAAGCGCCGGCUAACUACGUGCCAGCAGCCGCGGUAAUUC